CUAGAUUUGGGAUGGGGUGGAAGGUUGGCAGACACAGGGACGGAUGUCGGAUUUCUGCCUCGGGAGCUCCUCUCUGAAGGUAGAGUGAGUGGAUAGGGGCACAGCGAGAGCAAGCUACAUUCACUGAUGAUAACACAAAGAUGACCAUGUUUUUCAGAGGACAAGGUAGACCUGAACAAGUGCCCAGCCUUUAAUUUCCCUGAAGAAGACCUUACCCAAGAGAGUUUCCUGCCAGUGGAAGGCACUCGGCAGAAAGGCUAGAGGUGGCGUGCGGACUGUUGCAGUAGGGCUGCAGAAAGAAUAAUGUCUUGAUAGGCCUUGCCGAGGUUUUUCUGGUCUACAGAGCCAUUGAACUUUUGAAUUCAGAAAGGUGACUGUGAUUUGCAGCAGGAGCAGUGUUUUCUCCGGGAGUUCUCUGGCCUCAAAGUUGAUGGAUGGGCACCUCUCAGGCAUAGUUCCUUGAUCAAUAAGUCAUAAAGUCUCAAAUUAUUUUGUUAGAUCCAUUGAUCAAAUCCAUCGAAUUUGUCCCAAAUCUUUUAUUGUUAAGACAAAGGAUAGUGAUGUUCAGUUUUUCGCUCCUUGCUACUUUCUUUCUUCCAUUUGGCUUUAAGGUGCUAUGAAGCAGUAUGGGAAAGGCAAGAAGAGGAGAAUGAAAGUUACUCCCACACAUUGAUGGAAAGAUGCUCAUUUUGGCAGUCUGUUUCAGAAUGAAGCAAUGUGGAUUACCUCUUUGGUCUUUUAAGAAGUUCCUCAAUACACUGGCUUUGGAGCACUUUUGUUUUUCAUUCAUUCAUUUAUUCAUGCAAUUAUUCAGUAAAUAUUUAAUAUGUGACAAGUACCAUGAAUGAGUUGUAUUUGCAUGGCAUGGCUGUUUAUUUCUCUGUAAGUGCCAACUAGGUUCAGAUUCCAAGGAAGCUGGAAGAUUUGCUAGGUGCAUGACACAUGGAAUUUGCUGAAUUUUUAUUGUUGGAUGGGUGAAUUGAACUGUUUCUUGAGCAGUUAGCUAGGUGGAGUAUUUAGUCACGAAUUUAAAAAACAUUUAAUGAGUACUUAUGAAUGAAAAUAAUAAUGCCUAACUUAGGGUUGUAUGAUAAUGAAAAAAUAUACAGAGUCCCUAGCACAUUUUCAGAUACAAAAUAAAUUCUCAAUAACUGAUAAAUAUCAUUAUCAUUAUUGUUUCCUGAUAGAUUUGAGCUAUGGUAAAGGAGUAACACGAUUUAUUUUGUUGGUUCAUUUUAGAAAAUCCUAUUGCUGAGAAUCUCUGGCCCCUAUACAA
rnacentral:lncRNA from 1 species